rnacentral:sRNA from 1 species
CUUCUUCGGCUUGCUGUGGGCAAAUAAAAUGGAUAUGAGUAUCGACACCGCCAGCGGUGACAAUUUUGCCUUCACCUGCGACCACUUCUGUACCAGGCCCGACUACGAUAUCCACAUUCGGCUGUACAUCAGGGUUACCCGCUUUACCAAUCCCCGCAAUACGGCCAUUUUUGAUCCCGAUAUCAGCUUUAACAAUGCCCCAAUGGUCUAAAAUAAUGGCGUUGGUGAUCAACACAUCAACACAUUUAUCGCUGGUGACUUGGCUUUGCCCCAUGCCGUCACGAAU